rnacentral:rRNA from 1 species
GAUGAACGCUGGCGGCGUGCCUAAUACAUGCAAGUCGAGCGAACAGACGAGGAGUUUGCGCCUCUGUCGUUAGCCGCGGACGUGUGAGUAACACGUGUAUAACCUACCUAUAAGUCGGGUAUAACUUCGGGAAACGGGAUCUUAUACCGGAUGAUAUAUUUAACCGCAUGGUUCAGUGGAGAGAUAUGGUUUUUCUGAUACUUAUGGAGGGUUUCGGGCCGGAUUAGCGGGUUGGUAAGGUAACGGCUUACCCAGGCAACGAGACGUAGCCGGCAUGAGAGGGUGGUCGGCCAGCCUGGAAGUGAGACACGGUCCAGAGGGCUACGGGAGGCAGCAGUAGGGAAUCUGGAGCAAGGGGCGGAAGCCUGACGGAGAAACGCCGAGUGAGUGAUGAAGGUCGUCGGAUCGUAGAACUCUGCUAUUAGGGAAGAACAAAUGUGUAGGUAACUAGGAACGUAUUGACGGUAACUAAUAAGAAAGGCACGGCUAACUACUUG